GACGAACGCUGGCGGCGUGCCUAAUACAUGCAAGUUGAACGGUAAGGGCCUGUUCUUGUGCCGUCCUGAAGUGCCGCACGGGUGAGUAUCACGUGAGUAACAUGUCCUUGUGUUCGGGAUAACUUAAUGAAACUGGGGCUCAUAUCCGACAUAAGCUCCUUCUGCACAGUGGUGAUGGGUGAGAUACGGCGGUUGGGGAUGGACGUGCGGUCCAUCAUCUUGUUGGUGGGGUAGUGGGUUACAAAGGCUUGGACGGGUAGCCGGCUUGAGAGGGUGACCGGCCACAUUGGGACUGAGAAGCGGGCAGGACUCCUUCGGGAGGCAGCAGUGAGGAAUAGUGCACGAUGGGCGGAAGCCGGAUGCAGCAACGCCGCGUGCGGGAUGACUGCCUUCGGGUUGUAAACCGCUUGCGCGUGUGAAGAAGCGUGAGUGACGGUAAUGGGUAAAGAAGCACCGGCUAACUACGUG
rnacentral:rRNA from 1 species